GAGGGGCGGGGCUGCCGCUCGAUUGCUCUGGCUCCGUCUCUCGGGCGAUCGAUUCGUCCUGGCUCCACUGCGGCGGGCUGGCCGCGCGGGAGGCGCAGGCGCAGGCGCUGCCGGGAGGGAAGCUGCCCCGUGCCGGUGACAAACACCGCGGCGGUCGAUUGCUGAAUUACUGGAUUUCCAAUCACAGGAGGAAAAUAUCAUGUCUCGAUCACGCCAGCCCCCUCUUGUAACUGGUAUCUCUCCCAAUGAAGGCAUCUCAUGGACAAAAGUCACAAUUAGAGGAGAAAACUUGGGAGCUGGACCAACAGACCUCAUAGGUUUAACAAUCUGCGGACACAACUGUCUCCUGACUGCUGAAUGGAUGUCUGCCAGUAAAAUAGUGUGUCGAGUGGGACAAGCUAAAAACGAUAAGGGGGACAUUAUUGUCACUACAAAAUCAGGUGGCAGAGGAACUUCAACUGUUUCCUUCAAACUCCUGAAACCUGAGAAAAUAGGUAUCUUGGAUCAGUCUGCUGUCUGGGUUGAUGAAAUGAACUAUUAUGACACGCGCACUGACAGGAACAAAGGGAUUCCCCCCUUGUCUCUACGUCCAGCUAAUCCGCUUGGUAUUGAGAUAGACAAAGGGAGAUUUCCCCAGAAGGAUUUAGAGGCACUGUUUCCUGGGAUGAGUGCCGAUUUCACUAGUGAAAACUUCUCCGCUGCAUGGUAUUUGAUUGAGAACCAUUCAACAACAAGUUUUGAUCAGCUCAAAAUGGCAGUCAUGAAUCUGAAGAAGCAGGCAAACAAGAAAAAUGAAGGGAGUCUAGCAUAUGUGAAAGGAGGUCUCAGCACUUUUUUUGAAGCACAAGAUGCCUUGUCAGCAAUCCAUCAAAAACUGGAAGCGGAUGGAACGGAAAAAGUAGAAGGAUCCAUGACGCAAAAACUGGAGAAUGUACUGAACAGGGCAAGUAACACUGCAGAUACCUUAUUCCAAGAAGUGUUGGGUCGUAAAGACAAAGCAGAUUCAACAAGAAAUGCGCUCAAUGUCCUUCAGCGUUUUAAGUUUCUUUUCAACCUUCCUCUUAAUAUUGAAAGGAAUAUCCAAAAGGGUGAUUACGAUGUGGUCAUUAAUGACUAUGAAAAAGCCAAGUCACUGUUUGGGAAGACCGAGGUUCAAGUGUUCAAAAAAUAUUAUGCUGAAGUUGAAACACGAAUUGAAGCCUUAAGAGAACUUCUUCUGAAUAAAUUGCUUGAGACUCCAUCAACAUUACAUGAUCAAAAACGUUAUAUAAGGUAUCUUUCUGAUCUCCAUGCUUCUGGGGAUCCUGCGUGGCAGUGUAUUGGUGCCCAGCACAAAUGGAUUCUUCAACUCAUGCACAACUGCAAAGAGAGCUACAUUAAAGAUCAAAAAGGCAAUUCAUUGCUACAUAGCCCCAUGCUAGACCUGGAUAGUGAUGUGCGUCCGUCUCCACUCGGUCAUCUCAGUCAGACUACUUCACUGAAAAGGGGCAGCAGCUUUCAGUCAGGUCGUGAUGACACUUGGCGUUGUAAAGCUCCUCAACAAGUUGCAUUUGUUGAAAAGUUGACAAAACUCGUUGUAAUUCAGCUCCCCAACUUCUGGAAGCUCUGGAUUUCUUAUGUGAAUGGAAGCCUUUUCAGUGAGACUGCUGAAAAAUCUGGUCAAAUGGAAAGAUCAAAGAAGAACGCUAGGCAAAGACAAAAUGAUUUCAAGAAAAUGAUUCAGGAGGUGAUGCAGUCGCUGGCAAAACUGAUCCGUGGAGCUUUGCUUCCAUUCAGCCUCAGAGAAGGAGAGUUGAGACAGUAUGGUGGCUGGGAGAUGAAAUCUGAACUCUCUGGACAGUGGCUAACACAUGUCAUCCAGACUGUAAGGCUUAGUUAUGAGUCCCUUACUGCACUUGAAAUACCAAAUGAUAUGCUUCAUAUCAUCCAGGAUCUUAUUUUGGAUCUUCGAGUACGUUGUGUAAUGGUCACCUUACAACACACAGCUGAAGAUGUGAAGAAGUUAGCUGAAAAGGAAGACUGGGUGAUUGAUAAUGAAGGCUUAACAUCUCUGCCAUCCCAGUUUGAACAAUGCAUUGUGCGUUCCUUGCAGUCCCUCAAGAGUGUUCUGGACUGCAAACCUGGAGAAGCCAGUGUUUUCCAGCAACAUAAAACACAGGAGGAUGUAUGCCAGCUAAGCAUUGGUAUCAUGCAGGUUUUUAUUGAUUGUCUGGAACAACUGAGCACUAAGCCUGAUGGUGAUGCAGAUACCACACAUCUUUCAGUUGACAUUUCAUCUCCUGAUUUAUUUGGAAGCAUUCAUGAAGACUCUAGUUUAUCUUCGGAGCAAAGACUUUUAAUUGUACUCAGUAAUUGCUGCUAUCUGGAACGUCAUACUUUCAUAAAUAUAGCUGAACACUUUGAGAAACAUAGCUUCCAAGGAGUUGAAAAAAUAACUCAAAUUAGUAUGGAAUCCUUAAAGGAGUUGGAUCAAAGACUGUUUGAAAUUUACAUUGAAUUGAAGGCAGAUCCGAUAGUUGGCUCAUUAGAACCUGGCAUUUAUGCAGGAUAUUUUGAUUGGAAAGAUUGUCUCAUUCCAACAGGUGUCAGAAACUAUUUGAAAGAAGCAUUAGUGAAUAUCAUCGCUGUGCACGCAGAGGUAUUCACCAUCUCUAAGGAAUUAGUGCCUCGAGUACUGUCAAAGAUUGUGGAAUCUGUUGCUGAAGAACUAAGUCGACUGAUGCAGUGUGUGUCAUCGUUCAGUAAAAAUGGAGCUUUACAGGCAAGGCUUGAAAUUUGUGCAUUGAGAGAUGCUGUGGCCAUAUACCUAACUCCAGAAAGCAACUCAAGCUUUAAGCAAGCUUUGGAAGCCCUGCCGCAACUCUUAAGUGGAGCAGACAAAAACCACCUGUACCAUCACCUGAUUGUAUUAUGCAAGGACCCUUGAUACUGGGCCUGAAGGAUUCAGAUCUGAAGAUGAUGGCCACUGUGACCCCAGUCUAGCAAAGAAUUUAAGUAUGCACUUAGAUUAAAGCAUGUUACUAAUGUCAUGUGAUAAAUGGGCCUACUCACACAUUUAAGGUGAAGUAUGUAAUUAGUGCUUCGCUGAUUUGGGGCCAGAGUGCUCAGUACCUUAUAAUGUUGAGCCAAUAACGAAUGUAUUUACACAUACAAUACACACAUACAGAUAUCUCAGAAAAACAAACCUGGUAUUGGUUUGUGUUCUGUCUAUGAAACCAAAGAUGUGUGAAACACGUUUGUACGGAAUCCAUUUAGACAUCACCUUAGUUCAAUAUUCUGUAGACACAAGUAAAGGAUGCUUGCACAGCUACAAAAUUUGUGAACCUGACCUCCCUGCAAUGGGCCUCCAUCCAUUUAUCCAACAAUUACUCCUUGGUCCUGUCAUCCACAAGCCUCAAGACUUCUCCCUAACUUUUAGAGCUCUACAGGAGGGUUUGAAGAUAAGAAAGGAGCCUCUUCUGGGGUACGGAAGGUUCCCCUUUGCAAUUCUGAGUUCAUCGAAAUUAAACUUUCAGACAAACCCAUAAGGCUUGGUAUGUUUCCAACCACUGUUUACUGAACUACACAAACAAAGCACCGUACAGUUUUUACAGCUCUGCCUCCAUCCAGAGGGCAGCUCUGAGGCCCAGAGAGUUAAGGAUGUGUUCUAUACCUUAGAUUAUUUUCUCAUGUAUGUUACCACUACAUCUGUAAACUUCCCACACUGUUCAUGACAAAAUUAGAAAUAAUUAUGUUAAAUGUAUUUUUUAUGGAAUGAUUUAGAGCUGCUAGUGUUACCAAUAACACACACCGUGUAAUAUUGAAAUAUUGCCUGCCUGUGAAUGAUGGAUGUCCUCAGUAGCCCUUCCCAGAGGGGCUAUUGGGGAAGUGGGUAUUAAUUUGUUUGUGCUUUCACUCGCUGAUCCUGGGAAAGAUACACACCUGUUAAUUUUACAGUACACAACGUAUUAUUUGUUUUUGGAAGGAAAUGAUCGGCAGCUGCUGAAAAGAGCCUGCAAAGGAUUUUAUAAAACUGUGUGCGCUCUCCUUUCUUGCUUCUUUGGAUGUUGACCUAAAAGCUUUGAGGUUUCCCCCUCCCCCCAAAAUGCUUAGUUUUACCUUAGAAAUAUGAAUUCUGAUUUUCUCUGGUUUUGCUGGAGGUUUUCUUGUCCAUCUGAGAUGCUCAGAGUGACCUAGUUAAAGGGCAUUGACAGCAUUGAAUCUUUAACAAAAUCUCCAUAUGCAUUGUAGCUAAAGAGGAAAGCUGGUCUGUGGUUAAAGCACUUGACUACUGUUCAGGAGAUCUGGUUUUGAUUCCUAGCUCUACCAGACUUCCUUUGUGACUUGGGACAAGGCACUUAACCACUCUGUGGCUCAGUUCCAUAUCUGAACAAUGGGGGUGAUGGUACUUCCUUUCUCCCAUCCUUUGGCUAGUGUUAGAUUGUAAAUUCUUUGAUGCAGGAACUGUCUUUUAUUACAUGUAUGUACAGUGCCUAGCACAGUGGGAUCCCCAGUCUCAUCUGAGGCCUCUAGCCAUGCCUGUGACACAAAUAAUUUCACUGAGUUCAAUAGGUGCUAACAUAAACAAUAAAAAGUUUUAAAUAGCCUGAUGGAAAAUCUCAUCACCUUCCAUUUGCUCAGCUUUCAAUCUCUUGACUUCUGUGAUGUUGCCAUUUCACUAUGUCUCCCAGCACCAUAGAGUCUUCCAAAGUAGCAAACCAGGCUUUAAAAAAAAAAAAGAAAGAAAAAAAAAAAAGUUCAGACCACAUUAUUUUGUGUGUGCGCGUGUGGUUUCUCAGGGUGGUAGGCACUGUACAGACACAGAGAUAAAUAGACCUAGACCGGGGUGGCCAACCUAAGCCUGAGAAGGACCCAGAAUUUACCAAUGUAUGUUGCCAAAGAGCCACAGUAAUAUGUCAGCAGCCCCCCAUCAGCUUCCCCCGCCGCUCCCAGCCCACCCACCAGCAGCACCCACCGGUGCUGCCAAUCAGCAUCUCUCAAUCAGCUGUUUCAUGGUGUGCAGGAGGCUCAAAGGGUGGGGGGGGUGGAGGAGCGAGGGCACAGCAGGCUCAGGGGUGGGGCGGGAAGGGGUGGAGUGGGGGCAGGGCCUGUGGCAGAAUCAGGGGUUGAGCAAUGAGUAUCCACCAGCACAUUGGAAAGUUGGCACCUGUAGCUCUAGCCCCGGAGUCGGUGCCUAUACAAGGAACCGCAUAUUAAUUUCUGAAGAGCCACAGGUUGGCCACCCCUGACGUAGUCCAUAAGGAGGGGGAAAGGGGGGGAGACUGGGAGAUAGAAGCCCACUUUUUCUUUUGCAGGUCACCUUUUAAAUGAAAAUUUAUUUUUGAAGAUAUCAUUUAUAUGAAAGCAAAAGCAUAUAACUUGAUAAUACCUCUGAGGCUAUGUUCUUCCAUGAGCACAUAAUUUUUACUGUCCCGUUAUGCAACAGGUUAAAUAUAACUUGUGCUUGCUGUACAUCUAAACAUCAGCUAUAUAUGGAUUUGUGAACAAGUGCCAGCAGUUGACCUGAUUUAUGUUGACCAUAUAUUUGAGAACACAGAAAUAACUGCUAACGUUUUAAGUAGGGUUUUCCCUUAUCAUCUUAUUCAACCACACAAAAACAGGCUCCUUGUGAUGCAUUCUAAAAGAACAAGCUUGUGGGAUUAUAAAAAAAAGUGUCAAGUUAACACAACGUGGUCCUAACAUUCCCAAUGCUCCGCUACUGAUUCUCUGAAAGCUGCUGCUUCCAGUAUGUGUCUGUUGGUGUCACUUCAGUGGAAUUUGUCAUUUUCCUGCAAUAUUGUGAGAAAUUAUAAGAAUUUUCGUACUAGAACGAAUCAGCAGUCUCUCUGUUCAAGUAUCUGGUCUCUUAACAGUGGUCCAUACAGGAUCUGUUACCAAAGGAUGUAAAACUACUUCAGAGCACCCAGUUGUCUGAUAUGAUACUGUGGGAGGGUAAGAAAGUACUAGAGGAACUUGAACACAAAAGAAUAAGAUUUUUCUUGCAUUACUCACAAUAAGUAGAUUUUUUUAAAAAAAUAGGUGUGCAUCUACAGUACCUGCUUUUGUCAUAGAGCAUGUCUGCUCCUGAUGUGCUAUAUUGGAGAAAUGUAACAUUUAAUGUAUACCAAAAUAUUACUGCCUUAAUGUGUCCAAGGUCAGAGAGCUUGUGAUAUAUGCCACAUUAAUUACCUAUUAAAUAAAUCGAUAAACCUAACUUGAAACACCCCAAAUCUGUAAACUCCAAAUUGCCAAAGUUAUAAAAUGUUUUCUUUUUUGCAGGUUAUUAGAAGAGCUACUAAACAAAUUUAAAAGUAGUAUGCACCUGCAGCUCACCUGCUUUCAAGCUUCUUCAGCAAUGAUGAAAACAUAGACAACAGCAAAACGCAAGCAUCCUACAAAAGAACACAGUUAAACAUACUGCCAUUACUCCCGGCUGUUUCCUUUAAACACUAAGCAGAAUCCUUAAAUCAUUGGAGUGGUGGUUCAAUUUAUUGGCAAGCAAUAGCGUGAUUCAUGUGGUGAAUCCUUCAAAAUAAGAAAGAUUAUUAGAAAUGCCACAGUAAAAAAAAAAAAAAAAUCUAUUGUUUUUCAUCCUAUCAAGGCUGUUAGACGAACUUUGCUCUAAUAUCCUCUCCAUAGCUGUAUGUUUAUAGAGAAAUCUUCAUGUGUAUGCCACAAAGUAUAUUUAAUUUGUUAGAAAUAUUUUUUGAAAAUGGGGCAUGUUAGACAUUUCUGAAUAUCUCAGUUUGAAACUCCCUGGACACACAGGAAUGCUGAUGAGAACGGAUGUGUAUAUUGGCAUGUUGUAAGAUUCAACUGGUAUAAACUAUCCAGAUGCAUACUACAAAUGUUACGACCUGCAGAUGGGUCUAAUACACAUUCAAAUAUAGUAUGCUGGAGAAGUAGCUGCAUGUUUGAAAAAUUUAACACUUUAGGUAAUUUCUCUGCCAUUGUAUUCAAGUGCUCACAAAUCUGACUUCUUGAUCUCCUGGGCAGGGCAAUACUGUGUUCUCUAUUCUAGUUCAGUCAGAAAGUCAAAGUUAAAUAUAUAGCCGAAAUAUAGCAGUACUUUUCAGCAGCAACUUAAGUUAGUGGCUGCUUUGCAUUGUAAAUGCAUCUAAAUCUUCACUAAAUCAAAUAUUCUUUAUUGGUUAAGGUCUAGAAGAGCAAACAACUUCUCAGAUAGUCCAAAAAAAAAAAAAAAAAAGCUCCUGAUAGUGUAGUGUAGGACACUGGAUUUUCCUGCUUCCUUCCCACUUCCUCUCCUGCCUUUCCUCCUCCUUUUAGACUUACUCCGUUGUCUGCCAUCCUUCCCUGGUUGUAUCAUUCUCAUCAGGAAAUACUGAAUUCUUGGUGUGAGUGGGUGGAGAUUAAGCAGACUAAAUACAAAUUCUGCUGUUACUACCAUAGGUGUGUAAUCCUAGAAGCUGUAUGUAUUGUGGCUUCUCUACUAACCCUAAGGACUCGCAUCCUGUGACUUAAUGUAAAGUACAGGAAAUAAAGAUGCCAUAAACUAAAAAAAAUAUUAGUUAGUAUAGGCUAUUAGUUUUGGGGAUGAGGGGGUUGGGGUUUUUUUACUGAUCUACUAAAGAAAUCAUGGCCAAUAAUUAUCUGCUGUUUAUGCAUUUAAAGUUAUUUUGGCCUGGUUUACAGAAGCCAUAAUUUGAAUUCACAAAACAUUUUUAAUGAAUCACCAGAAAUUCUUUAUCUUGCCAAUACAGUUAAAUGCUUUAAAAAUAAAAUAUAGAGCUUCAAUAAUAAACUAUGAAAUAUGGCAAGAAACAGUUUGAUGCCUAUAUAUGUGGCUAAAUAAGCAUUAAGAAGAUUUUAAUAAAAAUCUGAAGCUUUUUAAGUGUAUAUGCUUAUUGGGAGAGUAUUAAACAGUUACCUGGACCACUACUGUUUUCCUAAAUAUGUUAUCUAACAUAAGCUGAACAUAUACAUUUAUAGUCACAGUUUCUGGUUUGAUUGUACAGUUUGUUAGACAUGUAAAGGCACUAACUGCAGAAUAAUAAAGUGGUGUUUAAGCAAGAUGA